AACGAACGCUGGCGGCAGGCUUAACACAUGCAAGUCGAGCGCCCCGCAAGGGGAGCGGCAGACGGGUGAGUAACGCGUGGGAAUCUACCCAUCUCUACGGAAUAACGCAUGGAAACGUGUGCUAAUACCGUAUACGUCCUUUGGGAGAAAGAUUUAUCGGAGAUGGAUGAGCCCGCGUUGGAUUAGCUAGUUGGUGGGGUAAAGGCCUACCAAGGCGACGAUCCAUAGCUGGUCUGAGAGGAUGAUCAGCCACACUGGGACUGAGACACGGCCCAGACUCCUACGGGAGGCAGCAGUGGGGAAUAUUGGACAAUGGGCGCAAGCCUGGUCCAGCCAUGCCGCGUAAGUGAUGAAGGCCCUAGGGUUGUAAAGCUCUUUCACCGGUGAAUAUAAUGACGGUAACCGGAGAAGAAGCCCCGGCUAACUUCGUGCCAGCCGCCGCAGUAACAC
rnacentral:rRNA from 1 species